GGUUGUUUGCAGGGUGAUAGGUUUUGUACUCUUGAAGGUCAAUAUGAGCCUCCUGUUGCCAUGGGUAAUAUUUCUAGUCAGGAUGGUUCUUUUUCUACUUAUCAAGGUCAAUCUCAACCUUCUUCCGACAUGGGUAAUCAUUCGAUACAGGGUGUUUACACUCCACAAGGUCAAUCUCGACCUCCUUUUACCAUGGGUCGUAGUAAUUAUGUUAAGGUAAUAUAACAUAUUGUUUGUUUUUUAACAUGAAAAUGCAUUAUGAAUUUUUUUUUAAAAUGCAUUGUCUUAUUCUUUGCUUUAUGUUGGUUUACUUUAGGGUGUUUACACUCCACAAGGUCAAUCUCGACCCCCUUCUGGCAUGGGUCGUAGUAAUUACGUUCAGGGUCAUGGUCGCGAAUCCCAAUCUCAACUUUCUUUUGCCAUGUGUCAUACUAAUUAUGCCGAGGGUGAUGGUCGUGCAACCUAUAUUUCUCAACCUGAAUCCCAAUCUCGACCUGAAUCCCAAUCUCAACCUUCAUUUGCCAUGGGUCGUACAAGUGUACAUCAUGUCAUGUAUCCUAC